CUGUAAGCUUCCUUUUGUAUCAAAAAUCUUGUUUCAUAAUCCACCUCCCCUGCUCUUUGGAACCUGAGUUUCUCCGUUUGUUUGUUCAGCCAGUUGAGGUCUGCUGGGAUAUUUCUCUGUUUGAUUUGCUUGUUAGCUUUGUCGUUGGCUGAAAUGGCCUGGGGCUGGUUUGUUCAAGGCUUUUUUUUUUUUCUUUUUUUUUUUUUAUGGAAGAGUUGGUGGAGGGUUUUUUCCUCAUAAGUUGGAUGGCAUCACUGCGUGUGAAGUUUGCCUCAGUGCCCACUGCUCAUCCACCCAGAAUGAGAAGAGGCAGCCUGUAGACACAGCUGAAUCCUCAGACACUGUCAGAGACAAGUACAAGACUAGAAGACAGCUGUGGCUGCCCUGGCAGGAGUGCCAGAUGGUGGAGGAAACACAUACAUAAAUAGUCAUAUUGACCUCAACCCAAACCCAUGGAAGGCUACUGUUGUGUCAGACAUUGUUCAAGAAGAUUUGUACCCAAUACGCCUCACCUUGAUUUUUAAGGCUCAGAGCUUUAUUUGAAGAUUGGGUGUACCCUGUUUGUUGUUAAUCAUUAAACUCAAGGAUUCAGAACAUUUUUAUAUAAAUAUCCAAUAUUAAAAGUCCUUGAACAAUUGA